CUUAAAAAUACUAAACGAUGCAUCUCUGCAAUGCUGGGCUUCCACCACCAAUGGCCCAAGAGAGAGGACUCAUUCUCUCGGGUCGUGUGCUUCAUCAAUAACUCAUUCAAACCUAAGGACCUAGAUUUUGUCUACUCCACUCUCAAAUGGAUCUCUAUCAUCGACCUGCUUUGGUAUUUGGGAAGCUAGCUUGAGUUGGAGUUGCUCAUGCCCCUAUUGAUGCAAAUGCCUCGUGGUUAUCCCUGAUAAUACAGCUAUUGGGAAUGUAUAUUCAGAAUGUGUUUUCAAUGAGCAGAGUUCCAUGACCAAUGAAUUUCUCUUAUUCCUGCAAUGAUCUUCAACAUUAACACUAUAGACUUGUAAGGGAGAAUAUGCCCCAUGGACUAUUUGAUAGUAACAGGACAUACUUGGGUAUACUUGAUUCUUGAAAUAUAUAAAGUUUCUUGAAAAUGAUAAUUAUGUCUUGCUUCCAGUUCAACAUACUUAAAACCAUUUCUUUAGCUUGAACUCUUGCACAAGAAUAUCCACAUUGACCACAUCAUAUGCAAUUUAGUUGUUGGAUAAGCCCUAAAGCAAGAUAAAGCAAGAAUUGUCUUCUUAUCAUCUCUAGGAUUAUUAUUGUAGCCAGUUUUUCAUAUUGGUUUUUGAGAGGUAAGAUCCAGUGAUUGUAGGUGUCUGAAGACUCUGAACUGUGAAGAAUUUUUAGAUUUCAAAAUAUGUUGGCUUGGUGAGGAAAGCUGUAGGAGAUCAAUGACUGUCUGUCUAACUACUCAAAUAUGACAUAGCCUCCUUUUUCCCCCUUAGCUUUCUUUGUCUCUCUUUUAUGUAAUGCAACCUGCUUAAUUUUUCUUCUCAUUGUAAAUUUUUCUGUCUCAAAUACUUGAAUCCCAGGGAGUUAUUGCUGAAAGGGUGGACCUGUCUCAAUUACGGACACAGACCACUUUGUCAAUAUUGCAUGGAGAAGGGCACUGGAAGAAAAUGAGGCAGCAUCAAAGCAUAGAGAAGCUGGCCAAAAUAAUGGAAAACCCCUGGAGCAAACCAUUGAUUACACAACUGGUGAAGAGAAACAAAGUUUGGCUAUAGAACAUUAUUUGCAAGGUCGCAUCUUUGCUGAUCAUUUUGAAAAUCUAGCGAACUUCUGAGCACACUAUGAAGGUAUUGGACCUGAGAUUUGACAACAGACGGGGUAGCUUAGAUGCAUUUGUUGCAGCUGAAGGCACUGGACGGACAGUGGCUGGCUUUCCAGGAAAAGAAUCCAAACAUUAAGUGCUUCUUCAUAGAUCCUCCUGAUUCUGGUUCAUUCAAAAAGGUUAGGGGGGGUGAUGCACACUAGAGAGGAGGCUGAAGGACAAAGACUAAAGAAUCCAUUUGACACAAUAACAGAAGGACUUGGAAUAAAUAGGUUAACACAAUAUUUCAUGAUGUCAUAACUUGACUGGCUUUCAGAGCACAGAUUUGGAAGUUGUUGAAAUGUCUUGGUUUCUUUUGAAGAAUGGCGGGCUCUUUCUUUGAAGUUCAUUGGCCAUGACUAGUGUAGGAGCCGUCAAACAGUCAGUGACAUAAUCCAUUGGCCCUGGUCACACUAUUGUGACUAUUUUUUUGUGAUGGUGGGAUGAGUCAACUGAGUAAGUUUUACAAUGUUGAAUAUCUGUCUCAGCAUCGAUUAACACCCAAAGCUACUGGAUUAGAGUUUAUGGGACAUCAGAUGAGUUAGUGUAAUCCAGAGCUUGACUUAGAUGUUUGUUGUUACUUCCACCCAAAGUUUGAGCUGACCUAUGCGACUAUAUUUCUCUAAAGAAAGUUCUGUAUCUAAUUCUAAUCACUAUUGGUGUUUAUCCAUCUGAAUUCUUGUAGAUAAAAAGACAUUGGAGCAGCAACACUAGAGCAGGAUAAAACACAUCUAUGUUAGGAUAUUGUCAAUUUUCUGUUUCAUUCUAUUUGGGACAUCAAUAUGUAUUUUCGUUAAGGGGUCUACAUUAUAUAUUACAUUCAGAGCUGUGUACAAGGAUGAUUGAAAUCAUUGAAGUUGAAUGAAUUAAUGCCAAUAUACCAGUUAUUAUGGUC